UGUAAUUAUUUGUUUUUUUUUUCUCCACAGAUAUUUGAGUGUGGCUGUGUAAAAUGAGCAGUUUAGCAGUUUUAAUACGUAACCAUCAAGCGUGAUUGUGUCCUGAAGACCUACCUCAUUUGAAGAGUGUGUGCAUCUACCUCAAUGAAGACUUAAAGGAAUAUGUGGACUGAAAGUGGCAGAAUCUCAUCGCACACACAACAGUGGAGAUCUUUAUCAUUUGGGCUGAGGAUGCUACAGAUGUUAGUG